CCAUAUGAAUAAGGACCGGCUAACUACGUGCCAGCAGCCGCGGUAAUACGUAGGGUCCAAGCGUUAUCCGGAAUCACUGGGCGUAAAGCGUGCGUAGGUGGCGUGUUAAGUGAGAUGUGAAACCGUGUGGCUCAACCAUACGUUGUGUCUCAUACUGGCAUGCUAGAGGACGGCAGAGGCAAGUGGAAUUACGAGUGUAGCAGUGAAAUGCGUAGAGAUUCGUAGGAACACCAAUGGCGAAGGCAGCUUGCUGGGCCACUCCUGACACUGAGGUACGAAAGCGUGGGGAGCGAACAGGAUUAGAUACCCUGGUAGUCCACGCCGUAAACGAUGCAUACUAGUCUUAUGGGGUAUCGACCCCCUGUGAGACGAAGCUAACGCGAUAAGUAUGCCGCCUGGGAAGUACGGCCGCAAGGCUAAAACUCAAAGGAAUUGACGGGGAACCGCACAAGCAGAGGAUGAUGUGGUUUAAUUUGACGAUACGCGGAGAACCUCACCAAGGCUUGACAUCCUGGGAAUCUUCUAGAAAUAGAGGAGUGCCUUCGGGAGCCCAGUGACAGGUGCUGCAUGGCCGUCGUCAGCUCGUGUCGUGAGAUGUUGGGUUAAGUCCCGCAACGAGCGCAACCCUUAUCGUAUGUUGUAUUUUUCAUGCGAGACUGCCCGGGCCAACCGGGAGGAAGGUGGGGAUGACGUCAGGUCUGCAUGGCCCUUACGCCUUGGGCUACACACGUCAUACAAUGGCCAGUACAACGCGUUGCCAACCCGCGAGGGGGAGCUAAUCGCAUCAAAA
rnacentral:rRNA from 1 species